rnacentral:rRNA from 1 species
AAAGCGAGCGUUGAUCCUGGCUCAGGACGAACGCUGGCGGCGUGCCUAAUACAUGCAAGUAGAACGCUGAAGAGAGGAGCUUGCUCUUCUUGGAUGAGUUGCGAACGGGUGAGUAACGCGUAGGUAACCUGCCUUGUAGCGGGGGAUAACUAUUGGAAACGAUAGCUAAUACCGCAUAACAAUGGAUGACACAUGUCAUUUAUUUGAAAGGGGCAAUUGCUCCACUACAAGAUGGACCUGCGUUGUAUUAGCUAGUAGGUGAGGUAAUGGCUCACCUAGGCGACGAUACAUAGCCGACCUGAGAGGGUGAUCGGCCACACUGGGACUGAGACACGGCCCAGACUCCUACGGGAGGCAGCAGUAGGGAAUCUUCGGCAAUGGGGGCAACCCUGACCGAGCAACGCCGCGUGAGUGAAGAAGGUUUUCGGAUCGUAAAGCUCUGUUGUAAGUCAAGAACGGGUGUGAGAGUGGAAAGUUCACACUGUGACGGUAGCUUACCAGAAAGGGACGGCUAACUACGUGCCAGCAGCCGCGGUAAUACGUAGGUCCCGAGCGUUGUCCGGAUUUAUUGGGCGUAAAGCGAGCGCAGGCGGUUUGAUAAGUCUGAAGUUAAAGGCUGUGGCUCAACCAUAGUUCGCUUUGGAAACUGUCAAACUUGAGUGCAGAAGGGGAGAGUGGAAUUCCAUGUGUAGCGGUGAAAUGCGUAGAUAUAUGGAGGAACACCGGUGGCGAAAGCGGCUCUCUGGUCUGUAACUGACGCUGAGGCUCGAAAGCGUGGGGAGCGAACAGGAUUAGAUACCCUGGUAGUCCACGCCGUAAACGAUGAGUGCUAGGUGUUGGAUCCUUUCCGGGAUUCAGUGCCGCAGCUAACGCAUUAAGCACUCCGCCUGGGGAGUACGACCGCAAGGUUGAAACUCAAAGGAAUUGACGGGGGCCCGCACAAGCGGUGGAGCAUGUGGUUUAAUUCGAAGCAACGCGAAGAACCUUACCAGGUCUUGACAUCCCGAUGCUAUUUCUAGAGAUAGAAAGUUACUUCGGUACAUCGGUGACAGGUGGUGCAUGGUUGUCGUCAGCUCGUGUCGUGAGAUGUUGGGUUAAGUCCCGCAACGAGCGCAACCCCUAUUGUUAGUUGCCAUCAUUCAGUUGGGCACUCUAGCGAGACUGCCGGUAAUAAACCGGAGGAAGGUGGGGAUGACGUCAAAUCAUCAUGCCCCUUAUGACCUGGGCUACACACGUGCUACAAUGGUUGGUACAACGAGUUGCGAGUCGGUGACGGCGAGCUAAUCUCUUAAAGCCAAUCUCAGUUCGGAUUGUAGGCUGCAACUCGCCUACAUGAAGUCGGAAUCGCUAGUAAUCGCGGAUCAGCACGCCGCGGUGAAUACGUUCCCGGGCCUUGUACACACCGCCCGUCACACCACGAGAGUUUGUAACACCCGAAGUCGGUGAGGUAACCUUUUGGAGCCAGCCGCCUAAGGUGGGACAGAUGAUUGGGGUGAAGUCGUAACAAGGUAGCCGUAUCGGAAGGUGCGGCUGGAUCAC